AACUGCUUCUGAAAAAUGUUGCCAGGAAAAUUGCAGGGACUUGUUCAGUCAGUAUCUGAGGAUCAUACAUGAUUGAAUGAAAAAAAAAGUCAUCGAGGAGGCUCUGAUUCAAAAACAAGUCACAUCAAAGUCAAAACAAUGAAUCCACCAAUACAUGGCCAAUCUGCUGGAAAUACAGUGAAAACUGUGAGUUGAUGAGCUUUGUUCAACUUUUGUGGAAAAGCUGCAGAACAAUUUAGUAUUUGCCUUUGUAGGUGAUUUAGUGUAUAUUUUCUGACACUGAAAAUUGCCAUUAUAUCAUCAAACAGCUAAAAUGGCCUUUGACAAAAGUUUGUGAUUGUCAUAAUAUUUGUUCUAUCUACUAAUUUGUCUGACAUAAAUUACCAAUUAAAUGAGGUGACUGAGUAUGAUA